UGUAAUUCAUAAACCAAUGACAUCUACGACUGUCAAUGUUACAGAUGCGAAAAAGCGCACAAUUGAACAUCUUAGUUCAGGGGAAAAAGAAUAUCCUAGCAUGGAAAUGAAAAAUCCUCCCAUGAAAAAGAAUUAAAAGUUGGAACACUUUUGUUGUGGUUCUCGAAACGGUCAUUUUUUGCACUCUUUUGCUGCUGCCAUUGAAUGCCGUGUUUUGCAAGCUUCUGAUGUUGCUAUGUGGAUGCCUUGUGUUCCUCUUCUUUUGUGGAAAUUGAAAAUAUUUUCUCCUGUGAUAGCAGGUGAUUUUGAUCAAAGAUGGUCCAGAAGAUCCAAGCAUGAAAAAUGCAUAUAUUUUUGUCUAAUUUAAAAUAGUAUGUAAAUCUAUGUAAUUAGCACUCCCACAUAUGAAAAUGUUAAACUAUGUAAGUAUCUCAGUUCAACAAUCAGUAGUAUGACAUUCACAUGAAUAUGUAAUGAACAAAUU